AUGAACGCUGGCGGCGUGCCUAAUACAUGCCAGUCGAGCGAACAGAUGAGGAGCUUGCUCCUCUGACGUUAGCGGCGGACGGGUGAGUAACACGUGGAUAACCUACCUAUAAGACUGGGAUAACUUCGGGAAACCGGAGCUAAUACCGGAUAAUAUAUUGAACCGCCUGGUUCAAUAGUGAAAGACGGUUUUGCUGUCACUUAUAGAUGGAUCCGCGCCGCAUUAGCUAGUUGGUAAGGUAACGGCUUACCAAGGCAACGAUGCGUAGCCGACCUGAGAGGGUGAUCGGCCACACUGGAACUGAGACACGGUCCAGACUCCUACGGGAGGCAGCAGUAGGGAAUCUUCCGCAAUGGGCGAAAGCCUGACGGAGCAACGCCGCGUGAGUGAUGAAGGUCUUCGGAUCGUAAAACUCUGUUAUUAGGGAAGAACAAAUGUGUAAGUAACUAUGCACGUCUUGACGGUACCUAAUCAGAAAGCCACGGCUAACUACGUG
rnacentral:rRNA from 1 species